rnacentral:tRNA from 2 species
GGGCCGUUAGCUCAGUUGGUAGAGCAGCGGACUUUUAAUCCGUUGGUCGCAGGUUCGAGUCCCGCACGGCCUACCA